rnacentral:rRNA from 1 species
GUAGGGAAUCUUCCACAAUGGACGAAAGUCUGAUGGAGCAACGCCGCGUGAGUGAAGAAGGUUCUCGGAUCGUAAAACUCUGUUGUGAGGGAAGAACAAGUACCGGAGUAACUGCCGGUACCUUGACGGUACCUCAUUAGAAAGCCACGGCUAACUACGUGCCAGCAGCCGCGGUAAUACGUAGGUGGCAAGCGUUGUCCGGAAUCAUUGGGCGUAAAGCGCUCGCAGGCGGUCCCUUAAGUCUGAUGUGAAAGCCCACGGCUCAACCGUGGAGGGUCAUUGGAAACUGGGGGACUUGAGUGCAGAAGAGGAAAGCGGAAUUCCAAGUGUAGCGGUGAAAUGCGUAGAGAUUUGGAGGAACACCAGUGGCGAAGGCGGCUUUCUGGUCUGUAACUGACGCUGAGGCGCGAAAGCGUGGGGAGCAAACAGGAUUAGAUACCCCAGUAGUCC